UGGCCGCUCCUUUAGGCAGGGGUCAUUUCUAUAUAGUAGUAACCAGAGAGGGGUAGCCAAAAGUGAUUGGUCUCGCUAACAAGAGGGAGGAAUUAAAGUGUUCCCUUCUGAACAUGAAAUGAGCAGACAGUGUCGCUUCACUGCAGCUGCUAUUAUUCAUGAUUAUUCCUUCUUUCCUUUUGGGAAGCAAGAAAUAGAAAACACAGACUGAGGCCUUGU
rnacentral:snoRNA from 1 species